UACGUAGGGUGCAAGCGUUAAUCGGAAUUACUGGGCGUAAAGCGUGCGCAGGCGGUUAUGUAAGACAGUUGUGAAAUCCCCGGGCUCAACCUGGGAACUGCAUCUGUGACUGCAUAGCUAGAGUACGGUAGAGGGGGAUGGAAUUCCGCGUGUAGCAGUGAAAUGCGUAGAUAUGCGGAGGAACACCGAUGCGAAGGCAAUCCCCUGGACCUGUACUGACGCUCAUGCACGAAAGCGUGGGGAGCAAACAGG
rnacentral:rRNA from 1 species